rnacentral:rRNA from 1 species
UACGUAGGGGGCGAGCGUUGUCCGGAUUCAUUGGGCGUAAAGAGCUCGUAGGCGGCUUGUCGCGUCGUUCGUGAAAACCCGCGGCUCAACUGUGGGCUUGCAGCUGAUACGGGCGGGCUGGAGUUCGGUAGGGGAGACUGGAAUUCCUGGUGUAGCGGUGAAAUGCGCAGAUAUCAGGAGGAACACCGGUGGCGAAGGCGGGUCUCUGGGCCGAUACUGACGCUGAGGAGCGAAAGCGUGGGGAGCGAACAGG